rnacentral:rRNA from 1 species
UACAGAGGUCUCAAGCGUUGUUCGGAUUCAUUGGGCGUAAAGGGUGCGUAGGUGGUGUCGUAAGUGGGGUGUGAAAUCCCGGGGCUUAACUCCGAAACUGCAUUCGAUACUGCUGUGCUUGAGGACUGGAGAGGAGACUGGAAUUUACGGUGUAGCAGUGAAAUGCGUAGAGAUCGUAAGGAAGACCAGUGGCGAAGGCGGGUCUCUGGACAGUUCCUGACACUGAGGCACGAAGGCCAGGGGAGCAAACGGG